UUUUUAGUUUUUUAUGUGGUGAUCUUUUUUAUAGUAUAUUAUAGUUUACUUUUAUUAUACUUCUAUUAUUUUAAAUGGAAAGAAUGACAUUUUUAGGUGGUGAUCUUUUUUCUUAUUGGGCAAGCCCAAAUAGUAUUAGGAUGCCGUGGGGGUCAAAACCAAUGGGGGCAACGGCCCCCUCGACCCACUCCCUCUCUCUGCUCUGCUGCUCUGUUCUGUUCCCCUUUCUCUCCCUCUCUCGCCGCUCGUCGUCGCCGCUUCGAUUCCGGCCGAUGAACGGCGAUUACCGUCGUUCUCCGGUCCCAAGGCACACAUCUGAGCCUCCCACUCUCAUCUGGUCCAUUUGUUUUUUUAAUUAGAGGUGUGUUUCACAUUCCCUAUGCUAGGGUUUCGGCGAUGGCGACGACGACAUCGACGGCGUAGACUGUAGGCGACCCUCGGCUCCAACCCAGUUCCAGCCAUGACUAGAUGGAACAACCACUACCAGUCCUCGUGCGACUUUGCGGCCUAUGAAGUUGACAAAGGCGAAAUGAGCACCAACCAGACAUAUGUACAAGACCCAUCUCCAGAACCGGUCUAGCAGUAGCUACCGGUACAUGACGUGGACAUGCUCAGUCGUGAGCUUGUCGCGUCAAAGGAGAGUACAAUGAAGGCACUUAAGGAGUUGAAUGACUCCCUCAAGAAUGAGAAGGAAGAGAUGAUCGAUGAGAACUCCGAUCUCUGCGAUAAGAAAUUAAAGCUCAUCGACCAGAAGGACAAACUGGUCACCGAGAUCGAGUCUAUGAAGAAGGAGAUACGGCUCCUGAAGGCCGAGAGGGCGGAACUGAAGACCCACAAAGUCCAUUACAGAAAGGAGGGAUAGAGCAACAGGAACAAGUUGCGUGAGAUGAGGAUCAUUCUUCAUCGUCGAGACAUGUAAUUAAUGCGUGCAUAUAUAUGUAGGUACUUAUUUAGCUAGCGGAUAACUUUUGCUUGUAGCUAGCUAGUGGAUAACUUUUGCUUGUAGGUAGCAAGCUAGUUGAUCACUACUGUUUGUGGAUUUGAAGUUACCACUAGAAGUUUAGCUGGGUAUAUUUUUUUAUUACUGAAAAUAGAAUUUGCUGGCGUUGGCUCACAA